UACGUAGGCAGCAAGCGUUGUUCGGAGUUACUGGGCGUAAAGGGUGUGUAGGCGGUUCCUUAAGUUUUGCUGUGAAAAUCUCCCCGGCUUAACCGGGAGGGGUGCGGUGAAUACUGAGGGGACUAGAGUACGGGGAGAGGAAAAGUGGAAUUCCUGGUGUAGCGGUGAAAAUGCGUAGAUAUCAGGAGGAACACCAAUGGCGAAGGCAGCUCGCUGGGGACGUGACUGACGCUGAGACGCGAAAAGCGUGGGGGAGCAAAACAGG
rnacentral:rRNA from 1 species